rnacentral:misc_RNA from 1 species
CACAGUUACAGUUACUUGUUCGCAGUUGGGCUAUGUGUUACUGGAUAACAUCGACUACGACCUUGUACCAACGACAUGCAGAAGGAUUCUACGAAUAUUUUCAUCACCACAACUUCAGCGGACAGAACAACAUCGACGCAAACACAGAAGAUACAUUGCAGAUAACCUGGGACAAAUGGACCUGGACAUCGUGAAGGACAUUUCAUGGACACCCGGAGUCUACGACCUUCUUCCAACAACAGAGGGAUUCUACGAACAUUUUCAUCACACGUGAUCAGCCAUCAUCAGCACAGUUG